rnacentral:sRNA from 1 species
ACUCAACGUUAAUUCUUUAAAAAGGGUGAGUUUAAGUUGUAAAAGCAGGCUGCCUUGAGCAGAUCCUUGAUCAGCUUGUUAGCCCUAAACUUGUUUUUAAGGGGUUU